rnacentral:rRNA from 1 species
ACCCGCAAGGGGGAAAGUGGCGAACGGGGUAGUAAUGCGUAGGUGAUGUGCCCUGGGGUCGGGGAUAGCUUAGGGAAACUUAAGGUAAUACCCGAUAAUCCCGGUAGGUUUGAAGACCAUCCGGGCAAAGGUGUGAUUCCACCUCAGGAGCGGCUUGCGUGGUAUUGGCUAGUUGGUGAGGUAACGGCUCACCAAGGCUUCGAUGCCUAGGGGAUGUUAGCGCAUGAUCCCCACCACUGGGACUGAGAUACUGCCCAGACACCUACGGGUGGCUGCAGUCGAGAAUCUUCGGCAAUGGGGGAAACCCUGACCGAGCGACGCCGCGUGUGGGAUGAAGGCCCUUGGGUUGUAAACCACUGUCAGAGGGGAUGAAGUGCCAGAGAGCUAUCUCUCUGGUUUGACAUAGCCUCAGAGGAAGCACGGGCUAAGUUCGUGCCAGCAGCCGCGGUAAGACGAACUGUGCAAACGUUAUUCGGAAUCACUGGGCUUGAAGAGUGCGUAGGCGGUUUCGUAAGUAGGGUGUGAAAGCCCCCGGCUCAACCGGGGAAUUGCGCCCUAAACUGCGAGGCUGGAGUGAGGUAGGGGGUGUGUGGAACUUCCAGUGGAGCGGUGAAAUGUGUUGAUAUUGGAAGGAACGCCGGUGGCGAAAGCGACACACUGGACCUUGUCUGACGCUGAGGCACGAAAGCCAGGGGAGCAAACGGGAUUAGAUACCCCGGUAGUCCUGGCCGUAAACUAUGAGUACUAGUGGGGAGGAUCGCAAGGUCUUCCUCACGGAGCGAAAGUUUU